GACGUAGGGGACGAGCGUUGUCCGGAUUCAUUGGGCGUAAAGCGCGCGUAGGCGGUUCGGUAAGUCGGGUGUGAAAACACGAGGCUCAACCUCGUGCGUGCAUCCGAUACUGCCGGACUAGAGGUAGGUAGGGGAGAUCGGAAUUCCUGGUGUAGCGGUGAAAUGCGCAGAUAUCAGGAGGAACACCGGUGGCGAAGGCGGAUCUCUGGGCCGUAACUGACGCUGAGGAGCGAAAGCGUGGGGAGCGAACAGG
rnacentral:rRNA from 1 species